rnacentral:rRNA from 1 species
UACGUAGGUGGCGAGCGUUAUCCGGAAUGAUUGGGCGUAAAGGGUGCGUAGGUGGUUUCUUAAGUCAGAGGUGAAAGGCUACGGCUCAACCGUAGUAAGCCUUUGAAACUGGGGAACUUGAGUGCAGGAGAGGAGAGUGGAAUUCCUAGUGUAGCGGUGAAAUGCGUAGAUAUUAGGAAGAACACCAGUGGCGAAGGCGAUUCUCUGGACUGUAACUGACGCUGAGGCUCGAAAGCGUGGGGAGCAAACAGG